rnacentral:rRNA from 1 species
UACGAAGGGGGCGAGCGUUGUUCGGAUUUACUGGGCGUAAAGGGCGCGUAGGCGCCUUGUCAGUCAGGCGUGAAAAGCCCCGGGCUCAACCUGGGAACGGCGGCUUGGGACGGCGAGGCUGGAGUUCGGGAGAGGAGAGUGGGAAUUCCCGAGUGUAGAGGUGAAAUUCGUAGAUAUUGGGAAGAACACCGGUGGGCGAAGGCGGCUCUCUGGACCGACACUGACGCUGAGGCGCGAAAGCGUGGG